rnacentral:rRNA from 1 species
AGCGAACGCUGGCGGCAGGCCUAACACAUGCAAGUCGAACGAACUCUUCGGAGUUAGUGGCGGACGGGUGAGUAACACGUUGGAACGUGCCUUUUGGUUCGGAAUAACUCAGGGAAACUUGUGCUAAUACCGAAUGUGCUCUUCGGGGGAAAGAUUUAUCGCCAUUAGAGCGGCCCGCGUCUGAUUAGCUAGUUGGUGAGGUAACGGCGCACCAAGGCGACGAUCAGUAGCUGGUCUGAGAGGAUGACCAGCCACACUGGGACUGAGACACGGCCCAGAAUCCUACGGGAGGCAGCAGUGGGGAAUCUUGCGCAAUGGGCGAAAGCCUGACGCAGCCAUGCCGCGUGAAUGAUGAAGGUCGUAGGAUUGUAAAAUUCUUUCACCGGGGACGAUAAUGACGGUACCCGGAGAAGAAGCCCCGGCUAACUUCGUG